GGUGAGUGCGUCAUCCCAUCAUGUCGUUUCUAUCAAGGUACCCACGUGACUAAGGGCACGAACAGCGCUGUUGUCUAACGGGUAGUCACGUGGAAUUUUCUUUUAAUCUUGCGCGCGUUUCUUUUAAAAAACGAAUCAUUUAGCCACUGAAGUGCUACUUUGACGGAAAGAACUCGACUGGAUGCUUCUCGUCACGGUGUCUGGUUGGUUGGUGAAACGAUUUGUGUAGUUAAUUACGAUAACAAACGAGACUCUAGCCUAUUAAAUAGGUGUGUGGUGCUCUGCACCUUCCACAUUUCUUAGAGGGACAAGCGGCUCCUAACCGCACGAAACAAAGCAAUAACAGGUCUAUGAUACCCUUAGAUGUCCGGGGCCGCACGCGCGCUACACUGAAAGCUGCAGCGUGAUUUUUUCCCUGCUGUAAAGACUGGGUAGACUGUGGAACCUCCUUCGUGAUCGGGAUAGGGGCUUGCAAUUGUUCCCCUUGAACGAGGAAUUCCCUGUAAGCGCGAGUCAUAAGCUCGCGUUGGUUACGCCCCUGCACUUUGUACACACCACCCGUUGCUACUACCGAUCGAAUGAUUCAGUGAGGUCUUCGGACCUAUACCCGGAGCGGCCUUCGUGUUGUGCGGGUGUGUUGGAAAGAUGAUUAAGCUUGAUAAUUUUGAGGAAGUAUAAGUAAUGUAGGGUGUGCGCAAAAUUUUAUCUUUUACGAAGG
rnacentral:ncRNA from 1 species